rnacentral:lncRNA from 1 species
UUUCAGUGCAGCAUUAGAGUGAUGUCUGUCAGUACAGCUCUCUGUCUUACCUUGGGACAGGCGGACGGGCUGUUUGACCUGGAAUCCAUCCACGGAGCAAAGGUUGCCACAGGGGUAAAGCGUGAUCACCCCGACCUGUUCUCAAUGAAACAGUGCUGGGCUGCCACACCGGGACCCUGGAUGGUAAUAUCCAUCGGACCAUGGCCCAGAGUGGUCCGGCCUAGGAUGAGAUACAUUACACAUCUCUCACCUGUAGUGUCCCGGGGUGGGUGCGUCCACAGUCGGGCAUGUUCCUGUUCAGUCGGUCCAUGUCCACAGAACUGUCCCCGUCUCCGGUCGACACAUGAAGGUCCUGCAGGAGGAAAUGAUGUCAUGAGCACUGCGUUUGCAACAUCAACAUAGUAUCCAAAUCAAUGAGAUCACUGUUCUGAUGAAGCUACAAUGUCUUUUUUUCAAUGUAUUUUUGUUCCAGGGCCAUUUCUAAGAUUGUGCAAUCUGCCUCUUCUGCAAAUGUGUAAUCAUCUGUGAUUCACGGUGGAAAACAACAUAACAGGAAACAUGUAUGAACAAUCUGUAAUGACAAAUAACACAGUGUAAUACAGCUAAUAUGUCCUCCUUUGGGCACAUAAGAGUACCCGCAUUCAUUUUGGAUAAAAGGCACAACGUCAUUGUUUCUAUUUUUGUCUGAUGGUGGCCAAUCGGGACACAGCUGGAGGAUUGUCCUACAGUAUGUUUCUCAUGUUGAUUCCUUUAUUAUUAUUGUUUUAUUUUUCUUCUCUUUCUUUGAUUGGUUGAUGCAAGGCAAAGGGAAGCAACAUUUUAAUUGUAUAUCUAUCUACUUUCACACAAAAAGACUACACUUACAGCAACCAUAUAUAAAACUGCAACCUAUUGAAAGGGUUGAAUAAAGAACUGGUUGAAUUUGUUUGAGCCUGACUAUGCAAGGGGGGUAUUGUUCGACCCCGAAUGAGGAUGUGAAAGUCAACAAAGUCAUCUUGGCACACACAUACAAAAAUCGCUGACCAAAU